UUGCAAGUUCAAGGCCAUAGCAGAAGCACACAAGGCAUGGCCUGUCAGAUUCUAAUGAAUCUGCAAAUUCAGCU
rnacentral:ribozyme from 1 species